UACGUAGGGUGCAAGCGUUAUCCGGAAUUAUUGGGCGUAAAGAGCUCGUAGGCGGUUUGUCGCGUCUGCUGUGAAAACUGGAGGCUCAACCUCCAGCCUGCAGUGGGUACGGGCAGACUAGAGUGCGGUAGGGGAGAUUGGAAUUCCUGGUGUAGCGGUGAAAUGCGCAGAUAUCAGGAGGAACACCGGUGGCGAAGGCGGAUCUCUGGGCCAUUCCUGACGCUGAGACGCGAAAGCUAGGGGAGCGAACAGG
rnacentral:rRNA from 1 species